rnacentral:rRNA from 1 species
UACGGGGGGGGCAAGCGUUGUUCGGAAUUACUGGGCGUAAAGGGCUCGUAGGCGGCCAACUAAGUCAGACGUGAAAUCCCCAGGCUCAACCUGGGAACUGCGUCUGAUACUGGAUGGCUUGAAUCCGGGAGAGGGAUGCGGAAUUCCAGGUGUAGCGGUGAAAUGCGUAGAUAUCUGGAGGAACACCGGUGGCGAAGGCGGCAUCCUGGACCAUUACUGACACUGAAAAGCGAAAGCCAGGGGAGCAAACGGG